AUUGAACGCUGGCGGCAGGCCUAACACAUGCAAGUCGAACGAGCGGCGGACGGGUGAGUAAUGUCUGGGAAACUGCCUGAUGGAGGGGGAUAACUACUGGAAACGGUAGCUACUACCGCAUACCCUCAGAUGUGCCCAGAUGGGAGUAGCUAGUAGGUGGGGUACUGGCUCACCUAGGCGACGAUCCCUAGCUGGUCUGAGAGGAUGACCAGCCACACUGGAACUGAGACACGGUCAAGACUCCUACGGGAGGCAGCAGUGGGGAAUAUUGCACAAUGGGCGCAAGCCGGAUGCAGCCAUGCCGCGUGUGUGAAGAAGGCCUUCGGGUUGUAAAGCACUUUCAGCGGGGAGGCGUUACCCGAAGAAGAAGCACCGGCUAACUCCGUGCCAGCAGCCGCGGUAAUAG
rnacentral:rRNA from 1 species